GAAUAUUGGUCAAUGGGCGCGAGCCUGAACCAGCCAAGUAGCGUGAAGGAUGACGGCCCUAUGGGUUGUAAACUUCUUUUAUAUGGGAAUAAAGUUUGGUAUGUAUACCAUUUUGUAUGUACCAUAUGAAUAAGGAUCGGCUAACUCCGUGCCAGCAGCCGCGGUAAUACGGAGGAUCCGAGCGUUAUCCGGAUUUAUUGGGUUUAAAGGGAGCGUAGGUGGAUUGUUAAGUCAGCGGUGAAAUGCCCCCGCUCAACGGGGUGAAGUGCCAUUGAUACUGCCUUGCUGGAAUGCGGAUGCCGUGGGAGGAAUGUGUGGUGUAGCGGUGAAAUGCAUAGAUAUCACACAGAACACCGAUUGCGAAGGCAUCUCACGAAUCCGCGAUUGACGCUGAUGCACGAAAGCGUGGGUAUCAAACAG
rnacentral:rRNA from 1 species